CCCAGAAGAAGAAGAUGUUUGGCAGUCAGCAUGGUCAAUUCUCAAGGGUACCAAUUUCCAGAACAGCGCCAGGAAGAAGGGGUUUUCAACCAUCCAAUCCAUGAUGAUCAACACUGACUGCUUGCUAGCUGGCUUUGCAUGAGUAGGGCUACUGUAGUUAAAGCAACAAAGAAGAAGACUAAGGAGGCCCAGGAAGUGAAAUGGGAGCCAACACUUCCAAAUUGGUGAAAAGACGUUUUUUUUCCUGCCACAUUUGCAAGACAAGUACGAGGUUUACAAGGCAUUUCCUCAUUGAUAAGUUUGACCAGGCUGCACGGUGGACGAGUGCCCCGCCUCCACCGACUGAGAGACUGUAUGACUGACAAAGACAGCUGGGAUAGGCUCCAGCACCCCUGCGACCCUGGUGAGGAUAAGCGGUAGAAAAUGAAUUAAUUAAUUAAUGUAAUUUAAACCAGGCUGCACGGUUAGCAAGCAGGCCUCACAGCUAGGAGACCCAAGUUCAAUUCCACCCUCGGCCA